UCUCAUUUCUUUUUUAAAAACACACAGUUUGGUUUUAGACAACAGUGGGCAGAAUAGAGACUUCAGGAGAAGUGUACGUGAUGUAAGAGAUUAUUUCAUCCAUCCAUACAAGAAUGCACGCGGUCAGAUAAUACGAAGACCAUUGGGGGAGUUACGGAUCGUUACAAACCCAUUAGCUGAAUCGUCAAGAAGGGAAUCUGAAAAUCGUGGAUCAGUUCAUCACGCUGGAACAGGAGGAGGACGUCACGGGCCCACGAGUGGAUUCUAUCGCUCGGCGCGCGGAAGUUUGCGUGAGGACAUUACAGCGUCUACGAGAGACACAGCGAUCGCAGGACCAUCUUCACAUCCUACACUACAUCAAUCGUGUGUAAAAAAGGAUAGCCUCGCUCUUUUGAACGAUUACUUACGUAGGCUGAACAAGAGCGAACUUUGCUGCGAAGACGAGUUGGUCGAGCAGGUUCCAGCAGGACAACAAACCAUCUCAUCUGAA